rnacentral:rRNA from 1 species
UACAGAGGUCUCAAGCGUUGUUCGGAUUCAUUGGGCGUAAAGGGUGCGUAGGCGGCGCGGUAAGUCGGAUGUGAAAUCUCGGAGCUUAACUCCGAAACUGCAUUCGAUACUGCCGUGCUUGAGGACUGGAGAGGAGACUGGAAUUUACGGUGUAGCGGUGAAAUGCGUAGAUAUCGUAAGGAAGACCAGUGGCGAAGGCGGGUCACUGGACAGUUCCUGACGCUGAGGCACGAAGGCCAGGGGAGCAAACGGG